rnacentral:rRNA from 1 species
CCUGAGAAACCCAAAAGAUCGAAUGGGGAGAUUCAUCGUCAGCGUUAUUGGUACGUGUGCGGUUCGCGAUGCCGGAGACCUCGGUCCCGUGGCACGCGUCCGCAUGUUUUUAUUGCCUGGUAACGUCGGCGUGCACUUCUCCCCUAGUAGGACGUCGCGACCCGUUGGGUGUCGGUCUACGGCCCGGGUGGUUGCCUGUCCCGUGUGCGCUUCACGGCGUCACUGCGGGGCAGACCCCCGGUUGCCCGACCGGCUGCCCGGCGGUACUCGCAAGGUAUCUGGCCGCAAAUAUUCGAACUGCGUCCGGCCCGUCGCAAGCGAGGAAAGUGUUUCCCGGAUGUACGGAUCUAACGCCGUCGUCGGGCCUGGCCCGSUGUUGGUUGACGGUGUCCUAGGACUGGCUAUAACAAUUAUGAUACCGGUCAGCGACGCUACUGSUUUGGGUACUNUCAGGACCCGUCUUGAAACACGGACCA